rnacentral:tRNA from 1 species
GGAGGGGUGCUAGAGUGGUCGAAUAGGCCGGUCUCGAAAACCGGUGUACUCUUUGCAGAGUACCCAGGGUUCGAAUCCCUGCCCCUCCG